rnacentral:snoRNA from 1 species
CGACUAGGGGAAUGAUGUACUACAAUCGGGCUCUUAACAUGCUGGCUUUUCUGGAUUCAACACACGAGAUAGACAUCAUGG